AUCUGGCCUCCUUUGUUGUUUUUCUUUUUAGCUUUGUUUGUUUCUGUUCCCGAUCUAUCUAGCUCUGGUGUUUCGGUGUUGAAGGGUUUCGAUCGGAUGCGACAACGGAUCUUCACGGCAAGCCUCUUUGGCUUGGUCGGCGGUUAGCUUCUCCAGUGAGAGUUGUUUUUGGGCUUCCGACAUCAGAUGUUUGGUCGGAUGCUCUGCUCUUAUAAGAUCCGAUGAAGGCUUUGGUUUCUCUGGGAUUCCCGAGUUUUCUUCGUGGAUCUGUGGCUGUUGGUUCUUAUUGUCCCGUGAUCUGUUUUGCAGACUUACUGGUCUGUUUCUCUUCUCCGUUUUGCUAGGGCUAGAUUGAUUCGCCUUAGUUUAUUUCCAGUGUGGCCGUGACAGUUUCAGAGCUUAAGUUGAUUGGCCUUUUCAUCUUUCCCUACGGUCUGGGAUAUGGAACAAGUAGUGUCUUUCUGGGUCUAGAUGAUUAGUUAUCCUUUUGUGUUUGGCUGUUCUUGAUAGAAGGUAACGUUUCCUUUAUUUUGUGUGAUGAGAAGAGACUGUUCAUUGAUGGUAAUUGUUAGGCCUGCAAGUUUAUUCAUGUUUGGUGGGAGAUUUCUUUGGUUCACUCUGGUUCGAUCUCUUGCCGCUCUUGAUCCUUCAAGAUUGGUGUUACCAGUCUGGAUCUUUCGCUCCUCGUCUCUGCAUUUCAGGUCUGAUCGAGAUCUGGUCCUAUGAUCUUGCUUCUAUUUAGGUGUGACUUGUCGCCUUGUUUACGACAUCGCCGUAUCCGAAAGAAUGUGUGUGGAACUAUGUGUGUUCUUUCUUGCCGGAUUAUGAAGAUUAGCAUAGGAGUUCCGUUAAUUUUAGGCAGUUUGGGUUUUCUAGAGGAGGAUUUUAUUAUCGUUGGUUGGCCGGGGGCAUCUUCGAUAUGUACUGUCAAAGGAUCUCUUGCUGAUGAGUUACCUUGCUUGGCUUGAUAUGUCUCCAGAUUUUGGGCUUUUGAUUCUCUGGCUGCUUCACUUGUGGUUUCCCUUUUCUAUCUUUGUAUUUCUUUGGCCUUUGUAGUGUUUAUCGUUUGCUUCCCUUUCAUAGGGCUUUAGUUUCCGGGGAUAUCUUGUUUUUCCGCCGGCAUAUGUUUGUAAUCUUCAGGUAUUCACUUUGGUAAUUUUAAUAAAAUUCUAGAUGACAAGAAAAAAAA
rnacentral:lncRNA from 1 species